ACAGUGGACGCGAGCAUCUGUGGCCAAGUUUUUAAGGGCGCACGGUGGAUGCUUGGCACCAGGAACCGAUGAAGGACGUGGGAGGCCACGAUAGUCCCCGGGGAGUCGUCAACCAGGCUUUGAUCCGGGGGUUUCCGAAUGGGGAAACCCGGCAGUCGUCAUGGGCUGUCACCCAUACCUGAACACAUAGGGUAUGUGGAGGGAACGCGGGGAAGUGAAACAUCUCAGUACCCGCAGGAAGAGAAAACAACCGUGAUUCCGGGAGUAGUGGCGAGCGAAACCGGAUGAGGCCAAACCGUAUGCGUGUGAGACCCGGCAGGGGUUGCGCAUGCGGGGUUGUGGGAUCUCUCUUUCACAGUCUGCCGGCUGUGAGGCGAGUCAGAAACCGUUGAUGUAGGCGAAGGACAUGCGAAAGGUCCGGCGUAGAGGGUAAGACCCCCGUAGUCGAAACGUCAGCGGCUCGUUUGAGAGACACCCAAGUAGCACGGGGCCCGAGAAAUCCCGUGUGAAUCUGGCGGGACCACCCGCUAAGCCUAAAUAUUCCCUGGUGACCGAUAGCGGAUAGUACCGUGAGGGAAUGGUGAAAAGUACCCCGGGAGGGGAGUGAAAUAGUACCUGAAACCGUGUGCCUACAAGCCGUGGGAGCGUCGGAUGGAAGCUUGCUUCCAUCUCGUGACUGCGUGCCUUUUGAAGAAUGAGCCUGCGAGUUUGCGGUGUGUUGCGAGGUUAACCCGUGUGGGGAAGCCGUAGCGAAAGCGAGUCCGAACAGGGCGAUUCAGUAGCGCGCUCAAGACCCGAAGCGGAGUGAUCUAGCCAUGGGCAGGUUGAAGCGGAGGUAAGACUUCGUGGAGGACCGAACCCACCAGGGUUGAAAACCUGGGGGAUGACCUGUGGUUAGGGGUGAAAGGCCAAUCAAACUCCGUGAUAGCUGGUUCUCCCCGAAAUGCAUUUAGGUGCAGCGUCGUGUGUUUCUUGCCGGAGGUAGAGCACUGGAUAGGCGAUGGGCCCUACCGGGUUACUGACCUUAGCCAAACUCCGAAUGCCGGUAAGUGAGAGCACGGCAGUGAGACUGUGGGGGAUAAGCUCCAUGGUCGAGAGGGAAACAGCCCAGAGCAUCGACUAAGGCCCCUAAGCGUACGCUAAGUGGGAAAGGAUGUGGAGUCGCACAGACAACCAGGAGGUUGGCUUAGAAGCAGCCACCCUUGAAAGAGUGCGUAAUAGCUCACUGGUCUAGUGAUUCCGCGCCGACAAUGUAGCGGGGCUCAAGCGUACCGCCGAAGUCGUGUCAUUGACAUAUAUAGCCCUAACGGGUGUGUUGAUGGGUAGGGGAGCG
rnacentral:rRNA from 1 species